UUUGAUGGCGACCGGCGCACGGGUGAGUAACACGUAUCCAACCUGCCGAUGACUCGGGGAUAGCCUUUCGAAAGAAAGAUUAAUACCCGAUGGCAUAGUUCUUCCGCAUGGUGGAACUAUUAAAGAAAUUUCGGUCAUCGAUGGGGAUGCGUUCCAUUAGGUUGUUGGCGGGGUAACGGCCCACCAAGCCUUCGAUGGAUAGGGGUUCUGAGAGGAAGGUCCCCCACAUUGGAACUGAGACACGGUCCAAACUCCUACGGGAGGCAGCAUG
rnacentral:rRNA from 1 species